AACGGACGCUGGCGGCAUGCCUAACACAUGCAAGUCGAACGAUUGCCUUCGGGUGAUAGUGGCGCACGGGUGCGUAACGCGUGGGAAUCUGCCCUUAGGUUCGGAAUAACAGCUGGAAACGGCUGCUAAUACCGGAUGAUAUCGCGAGAUCAAAGAUUUAUCGCCUGAGGAUGAGCCCGCGUUGGAUUAGGUAGUUGGUGGGGUAAAGGCCUACCAAGCCGACGAUCCAUAGCUGGUCUGAGAGGAUGAUCAGCCACACUGGGACUGAGACACGGCCCAGACUCCUACGGGAGGCAGCAGUGGGGAAUAUUGGACAAUGGGCGCAAGCCUGAUCCAGCAAUGCCGCGUGAGUGAUGAAGGCCCUAGGGUUGUAAAGCUCUUUUACCCGGGAAGAUAAUGACUGUACCGGGAGAAUAAGCCCCGGCUAACUCCGUG
rnacentral:rRNA from 1 species